rnacentral:rRNA from 1 species
GAUGAACGCUGGCGGCGUGCUUAACACAUGCAAGUCGAACGGAAAGGCUCCUGCUUGCAGGGGUACUCGAGUGGCGAACGGGUGAGUAACACGUGGGUGAUCUGCCCUGCACUUCGGGAUAAGCCUGGGAAACUGGGUCUAAUACCGGAUAGGACCACAUUUUGGAUGGUGUGGUGGAAAGUUUUUCGGUGUGGGAUGAGCUCGCGGCCUAUCAGCUUGUUGGUGGGGUAAUGGCCUACCAAGGCGUCGACGGGUAGCCGGCCUGAGAGGGGGUACGGCCACAUUGGGACUGAGAUACGGCCCAGACUCCUACGGGAGGCAGCAGUGGGGAAUAUUGCACAAUGGGCGCAAGCCUGAUGCAGCGACGCCGCGUGGGGGAUGACGGCCUUCGGGUUGUAAACUCCUUUCGCUAGGGACGAAGCGCAAGUGACGGUACCUGGAGAAGAAGCACCGGCUAACUACGUG